rnacentral:misc_RNA from 1 species
AAGUCGUAACAAGGUUUCCGUAGGUGAACCUGCGGAAGGAUCAUUAUUACGUAUCCACGUAUCAAACCAAAUCGUGAACUGUUUCCCGUCUGAUGAGGAUUUCUGCGAGUGUUUGAACAUUUAUUAAAUGCAUGGUGAGGACUCCUAGUCGCAAGACUGGUUUCUUCGAAAUGGCACUCGGUCCUGGUUGCCCUCUCGGGGCUUCAGCCAGCUCAUUAGAUGUGGUUGAAUUUCAAUCACUAUGUUAAAACUAUUAACCCCUUGUAAAACACUUGAACUAAAUUACGGAGACAAGACCCUUAACCAGGAAACUAUCUCUGAUAAACCGAAACUUAAGAAACAACUCUUAACAACGGAUAUCUUGGUUCUC